AAACGCCCGGUUACAUUCCGAACCCGGAAGCUAAGCCUUUCAGCGCCGAUGGUACUGCAUGGGGGACCGUGUGGGAGAGUAGGACGCCGCCGAAC
rnacentral:rRNA from 1 species